UCUACGGGAGGCUGCAGUGAGGAAUAUUGGUCAAUGGACGAGAGUCUGAACCAGCCAAGUAGCGUGAAGGAUGACUGCCCUAUGGGUUGUAAACUUCUUUUAUAAAGGAAUAAAACGAGGCACGUGUGCCUUUUUGUAUGUACUUUAUGAAUAAGGAUCGGCUAACUCCGUGCCAGCAGCCGCGGUAAUACGGAGGAUCCGAGCGUUAUCCGGAUUUAUUGGGUUUAAAUGGAGCGUAGAUGGGUUGUUAAGUCAGUUGUGAAAGUUUGCGGCUCAACCGUAAAAUUGCAAUUGAUACUGGCAGUCGUGAGUACAGUUGAGGUAGGCGGAAUUCGUGGUGUAGCGGUGAAAUGCUUAGAUAUCACGAAGAACCCCGAUUGCGAAGGCAGCUUACUAAACUGUGACUGACAUUGAUGCUCGAAAGUGUGGGUAUCAAACAGGAUUAGAUACCCGGGUAGUC
rnacentral:rRNA from 1 species